rnacentral:rRNA from 1 species
UUGAACGCUGGCGGCAUGCCUUACACAUGCAAGUCGAACGGUAGAGGGGCAACCCUUGAGAGUGGCGAACGGGUGAGUAAUGCAUCGGAACGUGCCCAGUCGUGGGGGAUAACGCAGCGAAAGCUGUGCUAAUACCGCAUGUGAUCUGUGGAUGAAAGCAGGGGACCGCAAGGCCUUGUGCGAUUGGAGCGGCCGAUGUCAGAUUAGCUAGUUGGUAGGGUAAAAGCCUACCAAGGCGACGAUCUGUAGCU